AUGGAGCUCACGAAGCAGGGGCGGGCGCCACAGCCGCAAUUGCCUUCGGCUGCGCACCGGUCCGCGCAGGUCCCGUACCCCGCUGGCAACUGGGGCGCGCGGGCGCCGGCCAGCUCCUACUUGAUCGUGCCCAUGAGCCAGCACCCUGCGCAGGUUGGCGUGCCCAGGCCCAGCGCGGACCUCACCGGGGCGAGGCCUUUGAGCAGGGUGUCGUUGAGUCCGCCACAACAUGUGCUGCGUGUUCAAGCGGGUCAUCCGGGGAUGGUUGCGCCGCCGCCGCCCUCGGUGGUCAAGAAGAUGGCGAUGUCGCCGAAGGUCCAGAUGCUCAAGUCGCCACCAUCGCAGUUGUCUGCUGGCAAGCGUUCUGUUCAGAAGGAACUGCCGCCGAAGGCUCAUCCGCAGUUGUCUGAGUCUGUGAGAUCGAAAUUCAGGGAGGCUCUGGCUGCUGCCUUGAGUACAGAUUCUGACCAGCAAUCUUCUGGAAAUGUGUCACUUGUGGGAUCAGCUGGUGACAACAGGCAGGCAGACGGUGGUACAAUGCAAGGAAUCACAGCCGUAUUCCAGGUUGCAGGUAAAGAUGAUGAUGAUAAUGUCACAAAGGUUGCUGCUAUCAGAAGUGAACACGGUGGCAUGUUAUGUAUGCAGCUACAAACAGAACAUGUUCCCUUGGGAAACAAAGUAUUGGGCAAUAGUGCUGUUUCUUUAGAUGAUCUUUUGCAAGGUGAUGGGGUUUGCUGGACUCCCCACAUUGUUCUUGGAGCUUCUGAAUCCAUGUCACAACCAAAUCCAAAAAGGGCCAGGAUGUCUGAUGAGCUGUUCAAAUUAUUUGAGGGAGUUAAUAAGAAAUACAAGGAGAAAGGUAGAUCACUUCUGUUUAAUCUGAAAGAUAAAAACAAUCCUGGGCUGAGGAAACGAGUCUUGUCUGGAGAAAUAACACCUAAAUGCCUAUGUGCGAUGACCAUUGAAGAACUUGCUUCAAAGGAGCUUUCAGAGUGGCGGAUGGCUAAAGCUGAAGAGCUUGCAAAAAUGGUUGUUCUUCCUGGUAGAGAAGUGGACGUUAGACGCUUGGUGAGGAAAACACACAAGGGAGAAUUUCAAGUUGAGGUGGAAGAAACUGAUGUUUUUCCGGUAGAAGUUGGGCUUGGUGGUGAUUCACUUUCUUAUGUUCCAUCAGAACCUGUUGCAGUUAAGACCAAAUCUGACGAUAAAGCAAGUGUACCCUGGGUGACCAAGGAAUCGGACAACAGUGUGCAAGAUGUAGUUGGGACAUGGAACAGCAACACAUCAAGCAAUUUAGAAUAUCCAGCAAAUGAGAAAAAUGAUCUCAUGCUAGAACCAAUGGUUGAUGACUUGAAGGUUAUGGAGAAUCUUCCGCUGAUCAUUUCACUGGAUGAAUUCAUGCAGGUCCUUGAUUCAGGACCACAUUCUAAAGAUCAGUCCAUUGGAGCCCUGCAAGAUGAUCCUAAUACUAACAAAGCUGACAAAGCUAAGUCAGCAAAUGUUCCCAUAACCAUAGACAAGGCCGCCGUAUCAGAAUUCCAAUUUCAUUCUGAUGUGCCGUCUCAAAGAGGUUAUUGUGAAUCCAAGUUAGAAUCACCCAUAAACAAAUCAGUUCCAGUUUUGGAUCCAGUUGAAGAACCAAAGGGAGGUGUGUUAGUCAAAUCCCCCCCUGAAGUGGUGGAUGCUGAAAAAUCAGAUACUGUUAACGUCUCGAUUCCUGAAUCUACUAUGCAGUGUAAGAUAACUCCUGAUGCUGUGCUGACACAUGACAUCAUAUGGGAGGGAACAAUUGAGCUUAGUUUGUCUUCACUCACAAAUAUUGUUGCUAUCUUCAAAAGUGGUAAAAAGCCAUCUACAAAUGAGUGGCGCCGCUUUCUUGAAAUCAAGGGAAGAGUGAGCCUCAGUGCUUUUGAAGAAUUUCUUGAACAGCUUCCUAAAUCCAGGAGCCGUACCAUAACGUUACGUUGGAAGGAGGGCUCUCUUGAGAGUGGUCGACAUCAUCUCUUAAAGACUAUUGACUCAUAUAUAGCAGAUGAGAGAGUAGGGCUAGUGAAGCCUUCUGAAGGGGUGGAGUUGUACCUCUGUCCUUCUCAAGGGAAGGCAGCUCAGAUGCUUGCUGACCACCUGCCAAAGGAGCACUCGGGUAGUUUUACUGUGCCUGGAACAUCUAUCAUCGGAGUCGUCGUGUGGCGAAGACCCCAUGCCUCAUCUAGGGUGCCCAACAGGCAAGAUGACUCCAAGAGGCAGGCUGCCACUUCUGGUUCAGCUAUGCCCAUGAUCUCCCAGCCAUCAUCUCGCUCUUCCAAUGCUUCUCAUCAGGAAGUUGUAACCGCCGAUGUUCCUCCUGGCUUUGGUUCUGGUGUUGUUAGGGAUGAUGAUGACCUACCUGAAUACAAUUUCGUUAGCGUCUCAAACUCGGCUGCCAAUGUGACAGUGCCACAGAGUUACAGGAGCCAUCAGCAUCUACCGCACACUUCUCCCCGAACAGACCGAGUGAGAGAAUUGAUUCGCAAGUAUGGUAACAGAUCUGCUGCAGCCCAGCCCUUGAACACCGAUGGCGACGACGACGACUUACCAGAAUGGGAUCCGUGUUCUCAAGGUAACCUCCAGCAGGCGCGGAUUCCACAGCCACAUUACCCUUAUCAACAUCAUGAGCAGCUGCAGUACCAUUCCUUGCUUCCGCAAUCGCAAAGCUCACUGUCCCAGGCAUACCCCCAGCAGCACCAGCAUGUUGCCAUGCCCGUGCAUGCUCAGUCGCUGACCUACAGCCACCCAAUGCAGCCUGCUCAGCAAUCCUACUUCGGUGUACCAGACGAUGGCAGUGGGUCCUACGUCAGAGGUAAAACCCAUGGCACCGGGAAGGCUGGAGCCAAUGGAUGA
rnacentral:rRNA from 1 species